GUUGAAAACAUCUUCUUCCAUCGCUGGCAAGUCUUCUUGUGUGGUGCAACAUGUGCUGUGCAUGAGCGGAGCUAUCCUCCAUAGAAGACUUGGCCACGUUUAAGGUCCUUGACGCCAUGGACCACCACAUCCCGCGUGCUGUCCUAAUGGACCCGGGAGGGCCGUCUACUUACCCCUUGUUCAGGUUGAGAUUGGUUGUUGACACCGUUAGGUUACUCCAAUCUGCCCAGACAAGGUUGAGAGGUAUGUCUUAGAUUCUUCUGUCUUGCUGUUAAUGGGAGUGUUGCAGACAAACAGGGAGCUCCGGGACAAGCUGUCGCCCGCCCGGCUCGACCCAAAUGCCAGCACACCCCCUCCCAGAGCACUUCUUGGUGGAGAGAGUGCCCAUUCUACUGUGACUAGGGAAAGCAGGGCCACUCAGAGCAAUGCUCUGAAUGGAUAUGCCUGUUCCCAUCCCCGAGUGCUCCUCUGGAGAACUACCAGGUUUAGCAGGGGCUGCUUCACCAUCAUUCCCCAGUGGACGUCACUCAUUCUAAUGAGUCUAGGUUAACCACCCUGGAGGAGUAUUCCUGGUGGUGGAGCGUACCUCCAGCUAGUCUGAAGGCCCCCACGACUUCGACCAGGCUCCUCCCUAUGCUAGCCUGUCUGCCUGCCCCAAGCUAACUAGAGUCUCCUGUCUUUGCAGGCUUCAGUCCUCGUGUGGUGGACGUCUGGUCGAUCUUGCAGGCGUCAGUCUUCAUGUGGUCGAAGUCUGGUGGAUCUGCUCUGGAGAUCUCUGGUUCAAGAGUUCUGAAAAGAACUCAGAGACCGUUCUUCAGAGGGCCCUGUCCAUCUCUUCUGUCUUCAACACAGAGGCUGGAGUGCCCCGAGGGACAGAAUUGGAAAGGAGUUCAACAGGGAAGGAAGCGGGAGCACAUGGUUAUGCUGAGCCGCAACCCCGCCGGGUUAGGCGUGCCCUGGUAUCCCUCCUCCCUCUUCCGUCCCCCAGAGGAGAAAGAGGGAGGCUGGAGGAGCAGAGUUGGAGAGGAGUUGCACAGGAAAAGGAAGCAGAAGAACAUAGCCAUGAUGAACCACAACCACGCCGGGUUAGGCGUAUCCUGGAUCCGUCCUCCCCUUAAUCGGAGAGGAUUUCGACAGGAAUAGGAAGCAGAAGACCAUGGCCAUGCUGAGCCGCAACCCCGCCAGGUUAAAGCAUCCUCUUCCAUUGCUGUCAAGCCUUCCUGUGUGGUCUCGAGGUGAGGUUAUGAUCUUAAUCCAAUAUUAUGGUGAAGCUAAAGUAAUCUCAAUUUGUAAAUUCAUAAUUUACACUUAUUAGUGGUCAAUUGCUUUGGUAGGUGCAUUUGUUUGUAAAUACAGGUCGAGGUUACAGGUCAAGAUUAGGAUUAAGAUCCACAUAUACUGUUUCCAAAUUGAAUUGCUGUCCUUAAGAUUCUUGAGUUGCUGCAUUUUGCGUUAUGAUGAAGUCAGAAUAGAACUAAUUUCUCUUUCUUCUUGUUUCAGGUUGAAAACAUCUUCUUCCAUCGCUGGCAAGUCUUCUUGUGUGGUGCAACAUGUGCUGUGCAUGAGCGGAGCUAUCCUCCAUAGAAGACUUGGCCACGUUUAAGGUCCUUGACGCCAUGGACCACCACAUCCCGCGUGCUGUCCUAAUGGACCCGGGAGGGCCGUCUACUUACCCCUUGUUCAGGUUGAGAUUGGUUGUUGACACCGUUAGGUUACUCCAAUCUGCCCAGACAAGGUUGAGAGGUAUGUCUUAGAUUCUUCUGUCUUGCUGUUAAUGGGAGUGUUGCAGACAAACAGGGAGCUCCGGGACAAGCUGUCGCCCGCCCGGCUCGACCCAAAUGCCAGCACACCCCCUCCCAGAGCACUUCUUGGUGGAGAGAGUGCCCAUUCUACUGUGACUAGGGAAAGCAGGGCCACUCAGAGCAAUGCUCUGAAUGGAUAUGCCUGUUCCCAUCCCCGAGUGCUCCUCUGGAGAACUACUUCACCUAGCUUGUUCAAUUAUUUGUUAACUCAAUAAUUGCAUCGUUCUUAGACAACAGACGCUAUUACCUGCAAGAAUUUUCUGUUUUCAGUCACAGUGCUGCUUUUGCUUUGUUCACAGUUCAUGCCUAUGGUCGGUGACACAUUACAAGAAAUGAUUUUGGCUUCUUUCUAGUUGUUUUGUUUAAAGGGACAGCGAAAUACA
rnacentral:lncRNA from 1 species